UACGUAGGGUGCGAGCGUUGCCCGGAUUUAUUGGGCGUAAAGCGCGUGUAGGCGGCUCGGUAAGUCUGCUGUGAAAGUCCAGGGCUCAACCCUGGGAUGCCGGUGGAUACUGUCGAGCUCGAGUCCGGAAGAGGCGGGUGGAAUUCCGGGUGUAGCGGUGGAAUGCGUAGAGAUCCGGAAGAACACCAGUGGCGAAGGCGGCCCGCUGGGCAGUGGCUGACGCUGAGGCGCGACAGCGUGGGGAGCAAACAGG
rnacentral:rRNA from 1 species